ACGUAGGGUGCAAGCGUUAAUCGGAAUUACUGGGCGUAAAGCGUGCGCAGGCGGUUUUGUAAGCCAGAUGUGAAAGCCCCGGGCUCAACCUGGGAACUGCGUUUGGAACUACAAGACUAGAGUGUGUCAGAGGGGGGUGGAAUUCCGCGUGUAGCAGUGAAAUGCGUAGAGAUGCGGAGGAACACCAAUUGCGAAGGCAGCUGGCUACACAUAUAUUGACACUGAGGCACGAAAGCGUGGGAAUCAAACAGGA
rnacentral:rRNA from 1 species